AAAGUCUGGCGAGAUUGUCGUGGCUCGUUUUUGCCUUUUCGUGAAUUUCGCAUGUGUUGCUGCUAGCUGCUGUUGAGUUGGCUAUUUUGGCUUAUCUCGCCCUCUUCAUAUGCGUAGUGGCUAUGAGGUAGCGAGUGCGGCGAGGGAUGUUCAGAAAUUAUGAAUAGUGUGAGUAGGUGUGAGUGAACCUUACAGGACUUACAGCUGACCUGGAGAUACGUUGUUGUGUUUCCAAUUCGUAACCGAUCUCUGGUUCCGAUCCGACCGAAAACAUGAUUAAUCAAAAAUUUAAUCAUGAUACAACAUACCUACUUCUGAUUUGAUAUUUGAUUUCAAGUAGGGAAGUGGAACCAUCUCGGCAGGGGUCCUAUUUUGGGCACUUGUAUGCUAUAACUCAGCCAAAUCUGAACCAAUUGAAACAAUUUUUGGAACGCGAUGAGAUACGUAUAGUAUCUAGUCGUGUACAAAAUUUCAUGUCAAUUGGUUUGGAAUUGACUGAGUUAUAGCGAAUUAUUCUGUUAUUCUGUUAUAAUCAACGCACCCCCGGGCCGUGGCCAAUCUGUGUUGUUUCGCUGGGCGAUACGUCUACCAGUAGACUUGUAUCUGCCCUAUGAUAAACCGAUUAGCAUAUCAAGUCCUUUCCACUGAUGAGUAGGCUCGAAUGUCCCGCCCCUCCCUAUAACCCAUAGGGGGAAAUAAGGAGUUUCCAGUUUCAAGUAUUGUAUUGAUUAUGACACCAACUCUUUCUAUUCCUUGGGAAAAAUCACUAGACUUGGAUUAUCAGACUACUAUUAAUAAUGAACAUAAUUAAGAUACAAGUUUACAUACACAAUUGUAAAAGCAGUGUUAGAUACUUUAAAGUGAAUUGAAAAAUGUGAAUAAGAUAAAUUGUAAACUAUUUCGCGGCGACACGAAUGCUUCAAUAGUGUCAUAAAUAAAGGCGCAAACAAACAAAUAAUUGAUAUUCAAGUAUACAUAUUGCAUUAUCUAUUAGCAAAGUAGUAGAAAGAGUUGGGUGCCUGAUUAUAAAAUUGUUGUACUUAUCUUGUGUGUUUCGGACAAGUCCCGUUUGUGUGGGCCAUUAGGACACGUCUUGCUUCAAAACGGUCGUUUCUGGAAUGGAAAGAAAAUAAUUGGCCGCACAACUCCGCAAAUGGGCGGCCCGCACAUAUUAGUAUAAUGUUGCAAUGAUUGAAAAUAAUAGAGUAUAAUUGUUAAUCUAUAUGAAUACUGCUACUAGUUCAGGUUUCUCACCCUCCACGAUUCUCUAGAUACUGUUAUAGCGUGUUUGUUGUCAAUUUGUUAAUAAGUGAAGCCUCCAGUAAUUCAAAAUUUAAUGUAGCGAAGAUCUUGAGUGGAUAGCAUUCAUUGAUAAUGAUAGUGAUUAUUUUAUUAUGGCUUAACAAAAAUUACUAUUCAAAUAUUUUAAAUCGGAUUCGUCAAUAAAAUUAUUGUUCAUAAAAUAAUUAACCAUGCGAAUAAUAACAUGAUAUAAGAGCUCUCGUGUUUCAAUCAAUGCUGUCAUACUAUCUACCAAAUCUUACAAAGAGGAUUGAGGAAGUUAUAUAGAUAUUGGUUAUAUGAACUACUACUAUUUACUAUACAUCUUCAAAUGGAUAGUAUAACUACAGAAAACUACAGAAGAGUUAGCGGUAUUUGUAUUAUUUUUUUUUUUUUUUUUUUUUUUUCAUAGUGAUUACGGCGGUAGCACGCUGUGCUUAUGUUCUAACACCGCACCCUUUCCCUACGUUUGCUUCUAUGAGCCUCUAUUUUUGUUUCAACACACAGAAGUACGUAGGCAUAUCGUGGCCCAAGUCGACACUGUUUUGGCCUGCGUUGAACAAAAAUAGUUUUAAUAAAAGUUUCCCCUUUUUUUCUUUUUGUCAAUUGUUUUUUUUUGUAGUAUGGUCCAUGUAUUUAGUUAGGUUCUUGUCAAUUUGUCAGUUAUUCGAAGUAGAUCUCCAAAAUGUAGUCAAUAAGUCAAUUAAGUCAUUCUGAUCUGUUCUAUCAUAGCAGCUUUAGUCUUUGCUUUAUUGAAGUGUAGUUUUAUUGGAAAUAUGCUGAAUAUCGUUAUUAAAAAGAGACGUCUGGAGCUGUGUCCUGCUUGUUCCGUCAUGCACAUACUACAUAUUAAAAAAUGAAUAUUAAUGCUGUCUAGCGCAUUGUUUCCUAUCGGCUAUUAUUGUAGUAUAGUCCCAACUGCAAGCUUUUUUUCCAAUCUUAGCGUCAAUUGUCUUCUAGUUACUUCUAGACAGAUUCAUCGAAUCAGUCGAACCCGCAUGUUAAAAUACAGUCGAUUCUGUGUCAAAUUGUUUUUUUUUUGAUAUUUACUUCUCUGUGUGCAUCUCUUGUGUCCUCAAAUUGUCAUCGGUCCAAAACCCACAGAAACAUGUAACUGAACUUCUAACACUUUUUCUGUUGGUGUCAUAACAUCAUCUAAGAGAUAAACAAAAAUUGCUUGUCAACUAUUAUGUAUUCAUCCCCCUACAAAUACUAUGAAAAAUAUUCAAAUUCGUUCUGUCCUAUCGGUCCUAUCAAGAUAAACCAUGUCAUUUUCUCAUGCGUGGCCUAGAAAUGUCAACCUAGUCAUACAAAAGUAACGUUGUUCAGUUAAUAAAAAGCAGUCAGUUUUUUGUCCAGUCCAAACUGUCACGUCAAGUGUUCGCACGUUAGCUUCGAAUCUAUCAGCACAAUUAAGUGCUGCAAAUCUCCUUCCCACUAUUAAUUUUUUGGUUGAUUUUAAUUGCUUUAUUUAAAUAAAAUAUAAUAAAGUAUAACAUUGUAGAAAUUCGAAAAAGCGACUAUGACAUUAAUAAAUUACUAAUCAAAAUCAACCAAGAAACGUGGGAAAUAGAGCCCAAACAAUAUUUUGAAGUCAGCUGGCUGUAAAAGGUUCCAAAACCAGUCACAAAUCCUAUAAAACUUUUAUUAGGAUUUGUAACGAUCAUCAAAACCUUCUCAAAUCCAACCGAUUUGGAACUAUUGCUUGGGAAUAGACUCUACUGAGCCCUGGCGGUUCCUCCGUGUUUAUCGAGCAUGUCUGAUGCAUAUGAUCAGCCAUACUCCAUCUGCAGCAGCCGGUUCGUGAUGAACCGUUGGAGGCGCAUUAAAGUGUUAAAAAGGUGAUAUGUUUCACUAAAGAACACUACAUUACAAUAAUCAAAAUGAAACUCCUUCACUUUAAUACCGUCAACCCCUGCGAACUUGGCCAGGGAGUUAG